CCNGGGAACUGCGUUCUGAACUGGGUGACUAGAGUGUNUCAGAGGGAGGUAGAAUUCCACGUGUAGCAGUGAAAUGCGUAGAGAUGUGGAGGAAUACCGAUGGCGAAGGCAGCCUCCUGGGAUAACACUGACGUUCAUGCCCGAAAGCGUGGGUAGCAAACAGGAUUAGAUACCCUGGUAGUCCACGCCCUAAACGAUGUCGAUUAGCUGUUGGGCAGCAUGACUGCUUAGUAGCGAAGCUAACGCGUGAAAUCGACCGCCUGGGGAGUACGGUCGCAAGAUUAAAACUCAAAGGAGUUGACGGGGACCCGCACAAGCGGUGGAUGAUGUGGAUUAAUUCGAUGCAACGCGAAGAACCUUACCUGGUCUUGACAUGUGCGGAACCCUCCAGAGACGGAGGGGUGCCUUCGGGAGCCGUAACACAGGUGCUGCAUGGCUGUCGUCAGCUCGUGUCGUGAGAUGUUGGGUUAAGUCCCGCAACGAGCGCAACCCUUGUCAUUAGUUGCCAUCAUUAAGUUGGGCACUCUAAUGAGACUGCCGGUGACAAGCCGGAGGAAGGUGGGGAUGACGUCAAGUCCUCAUGGCCCUUAUGACCAGGGCUUCACACGUCAUACAAUGGUCGGUACAGAGGGUAGCCAAGCCGCGAGGUGGAGCCAAUCUCACAAAACCGAUCGUAGUCCGGAUUGCACUCUGCAACUCGAGUGCAUGAAGUCGGAAUCGCUAGUAAUCGCAGGUCAGCAUACUGCGGUGAAUACGUUCCCGGGUCUUGUACACAC
rnacentral:rRNA from 1 species